UAGAUAGGUCAUGGGGAUCCUUAUGGUAUGGCAAUAACUCAUGAGACGUCUGCAGGCAUGGGCGGAAUACGUACUGCUGGAGAUCUGGUAGCACGUAUGC
rfam:Peptococcaceae bacterium BRH_c23 BRHa_1002154, whole genome shotgun sequence.